CCUGAACCGGUUUAAAUUGUUAUUCUGCCGUUAAAUGCGAAGCGAUGGACGCCUGAUGCCGCCGUCGAGGUUCGGAACAGCAGCUCAGCAGCGAUGUUAGUUAGGCUCCGUGUGUAGGAGUUGUGCUCGACUACCGUCUUGAAGUGGGUCAGGGCAUAAUUCAAUCCAGUUGCAGUUCCCUUCUUUUUGAUUACCAUGCCGUCUUCACGAAAUCGCCUACUAGCAAUGAAUUGAUAACAUUUGAUUGAAAUGGCUUUAAGCUUAAGUACAGUCCUUUUCAGAGCCAAAAUAGCUAAUACAAGGUCAAAGAACAGAUGCUGAUAACCAUUGACAAAAGAUUGAUGGUCUGCCGCCGCCUUGCGGCUGCAUUAGAUGACAAAAACUACAGGACACCUUCAGCAUCAACGUUACAAGAUGCACAUCCUAUAAGUGCCCCGUUUUCCCCUAGCCUCCCCGGACACCUGCAAUACCAUCUGUGAGACCGGUCUCAAUAAAAGCUGCAAUAUUACCGUAUUUAA